rnacentral:tRNA from 1 species
AUUUAUGUAGUAUAAUAAAGUAUGUAUGACUUCCAAUCAUAAGGUCUAUAUUACAAUAGCAUAAAUA